rnacentral:rRNA from 1 species
UACAGAGGUCUCAAGCGUUGUCCGGAAUCAUUGGGCGUAAAGGGCGCGUAGGUGGCGGGACAAGCGUGCGGUGAAAGCUCGGGGCUCAACCCCGCGUCGGCCGUGCGAACUGUUUUGCUGGAGCACUGUAGAGGCAGGCGGAAUUCCGGGUGUAGCGGUGGAAUGCGUAGAGAUCCGGAAGAACACCGGUGGCGAAGGCGGCCUGCUGGGCAGUUGCUGACACUGAGGCGCGACAGCGUGGGGAGCAAACAGG